rnacentral:rRNA from 1 species
AAUGAACGUUGGCGGCGUGGAUUAGGCAUGCAAGUCGUGCGGUAAGGCCCCUUCGGGGUACGACGAGCGGCGAAAGGGAGAGUAACGCGUGGACUACCUACCCUCGGGUCUGGGAUAGCCGCGGGAAACUGCGGGUAAUACCGGAUAACGUCUGAGGACCAAAGGUGCGAUUCCGCCUGGGGACGGGUCCGCGUCCUAUUAGCUUGUUGGUGAGGUAACGGCUCACCAAGGCGACGAUGGGUACGGGGUGUGAGAGCAUGACCCCGCUCACUGGGACUGAGACACUGCCCAGACACCUACGGGUGGCUG